UACGAAGGGGGCUAGCGUUGCUCGGAAUCACUGGGCGUAAAGGGUGCGUAGGCGGGUCUUUAAGUCAGAGGUGAAAUCCUGGAGCUCAACUCCAGAACUGCCUUUGAUACUGAAGAUCUUGAGUGCGGGAGAGGUGAGUGGAACUGCGAGUGUAGAGGUGAAAUUCGUAGAUAUUCGCAAGAACACCAGUGGCGAAGGCGGCUCACUGGCCCGAUACUGACGCUGAGGCACGAAAGCGUGGGGAGCAAACAGG
rnacentral:rRNA from 1 species